GAUGAACGCUAGCUACAGGCUUAACACAUGCAAGUCGCAGGGUAACAUGAGGAAAGCUUGCUUUCCUUGAUGACGACUGGCGCACGGGUGAGUAACGCGUAUCCAACCUUCCCAUAACUACGGGAUAACCCGUUGAAAGACGGCCUAAUACCGUAUGAUAUCGUUUGCUGACAUCAAAUAACGAUUAAAGGUUUAGCGGUUAUGGAUGGGGAUGCGUCUGAUUAGCUUGUUGGCGGGGUAACGGCCCACCAAGGCGACGAUCAGUAGGGGUUCUGAGAGGAAGGUCCCCCACAUUGGAACUGAGACACGGUCCAAACUCCUACGGGAGGCAGCAGUGAGGAAUAUUGGUCAAUGGGCGAGAGCCUGAACCAGCCAAGUAGCGUGCAGGACGACGGCCCUAUGGGUUGUAAACUGCUUUUAUGUGGGGAUAAAGUGCGUGACGCGUCAUGCAUUGCAGGUACCACAUGAAUAAGGACCGGCUAAUUCCGUG
rnacentral:rRNA from 1 species